AUGAGCUCUGAAGAGUCCGGCGGUGCCGUCACGUCGGCCUCUCUCGCCGCGAUCCACGAGGUCAUGGCACUCAGCAUGCCCUCACCCCUCGGCUCCGCCUGCGGGUGGUCGUCGACGCCAUCGCCAGCUGCUGCUUUGAGGCCGGAGUUGUGGCUGCCACCAAGGAGGCCAUCUCGAUGCGGAUGCUGCAGGACGUGCCUGCACUACCCUGCCACCCCUACAUUUCUGGACCAGUACAUCUGCUCCGUCGUGAACACAUGCUUCGUGUCAUACAGGCCGCCGCACAGGGUGAGCUCCUGCAGCGGUUUAGGUAUAUAUGUGCAUCGCACAAGGGCAACUACAGUUUCUUGCAAGUUAAAGUAA
rnacentral:rRNA from 1 species